rnacentral:lncRNA from 1 species
AUGGGGACCCUCAGUUCUGAGCCGUGUGCUCAAAGCCUCCCCUGUAUACACAGGGGCCUGGAGAUGGGGGGGUGUCGGGUGUGGGAGCCCAGCCCCCGACAGAGGCAUGUUCUGGACCGGCUGCCAGAGGGACCAGCGAGUGUGAAGGCUGGAGGAACGUUCCUCGGCCCUCCGCUGCGCUGCCAUUUCCUGCCCAGGCUGCCCUGGCCACCCACCCACUGGCUGCCCGGGCCUGAACGCACGGCGGCCCAGCUGUCAGAUAUGUCAGCACCAGCUGGGAGCAGGGUCCCGGGCCAGAGGAUUGGGGGACAGAGGCAGGCAGUGGAGGGGGGGGUGACACCUCUGGGGAAUGCAGACCCCUGUCCCUUGCACCAAACCUUGCCGGGACUCUUGGGGCUGUGGGACUGUGGUGCAGGAGGAGAGGCCACUGGAGCCUGCGCCCCCGCCCACUCUGGCGCCCUUGCGGGAAGGCCCCUCGCUCAGCUUCCCGAGUCUCCUGGCUGUGCGCUCCCCGGAGGUCAGAGAAUGAAGCAGCAUGCAUGCAACAUUUCCUGUCUUGGGGAAUUCCUGGGGUCACCCAGGAGCCGCCCCAGCUUUCCAAGCCCCUGUAUGAGUGAGAGCUGGGCCCCCACAAGAGAGACGACUGGGCCGAGCUAUCGGGUAUGCAGGGGCUGUCCGGGCUCUCUGGGAGUCGGAUGGGGGCCGUCCAGGUUUUCUCGCCGGGAAGAGGAGGCAGGAUUCAGGCUUUGUGGUAGGCAGGCUGGUUUGUAUCACUGGAUAGAAGGAGGGCACUGGGUCCCACCCUGUAGAGCCCCCACACUUAGGACCCAGAAUUCCCAGUUAAGCCCCAGGUUAGAGAACCCCGGGGCCCCUGCCUGUCCUGGUGCUGUGUCUCCACUGCCCUGCGCCUUGCCUCCUGCUCAGGCCUCCAGCCCUGUUCCCACCACUGUUAACCACACAGUCUCCAGGCACCCCCAGGUCAGGGGCAGGCCAGAGGUUUGCCCUUCUGAGCCCCUGGGCUCCGGGUAG